rnacentral:rRNA from 1 species
UACGAAGGUGGCAAGCGUUGUUCGGAUUUACUGGGCGUAAAGGGAGCGUAGGUGGUUAGGUAAGCCCUCCGGGAAAUCUUCAGGCUUAACCUGAAAAGGUCGGGGGGGACUGCCUAGCAGAGGGCGGGAGAGGAGCGCGGAAUUCCCGGUGUAGCGGUGAAAUGCGUAGAGAUCGGGAGGAAGGCCGGUGGCGAAGGCGGCGCUCUGGAACGUUUCUGACACUGAGGCUCGAAAGCGUGGGGAGCAAACAGG